AGAUCUUCCCUUUGUCUGAUAGUAAUUACCUUCUUUCUUGAUCAGGGAAGUGGAAGACUUUGCAAGAAGAUUGAAUUCAGAUUGGCCUGAUAGAAUGCAAGAAAUUCUUUCCCUGGGUCAAGAAAGGAGGAUAUUACCGGUGAGCAUUAAUGCAAAUGAUUCCUCGAGGAGAUUUAAGUAGGGACGAUCUGGAAAUAUCACAAUAAUUUUGCAAGUUUUAGUCAUAAAACCGGUUGCUUUUGUCAACUAAGUUGAGUGGUGAUUGUCAGAUUCUUCUUCUGUAGCAGGAGCAGCUUCAUCAUCGUUCGAUUUGUAGAUAGGACGAACAUAAAUUUGCACCAACUCACUGUGAUUUGUUGUCCCAUCGGCAGGACUAGACCAGCACCAAAAUUAAUCGUAAAUUAUCAUCUUCAAAGUGGGAACAAGCCCAACAUUUUUUAUGUCACAGCUGAGUUGCUAAUGGAUCGAGACCAGAAGAGUUGGCAAUAUACAAUGUUGAGAUUCGCAUUCGGGUUUGAUCAACACAAUUUUGAAUUUUCCAUUAGAGGUUCAAUUUUAAUGGUUGUGGUUUAUCCUUUCCGUGGUUUUGAGUUCCAGAGCAAAAACUUAAGGCUGUUAAUUUAUUGUUUAUCUCCUGUAAAAGAACAUCCACUCACAGUUUGGAUAAGAGUUUGUAUUGCUAGGAAGAUGGCAAUAUCAAAUUGAAGUGUUGUAAAUAUUUGCAAUUUUUAUGUUGGGUGGAAAUUUGGAAAAUACAAUUUCCCUCUGAAAAAUAUUAUUCAAUUUAGAAUUUCUUCAUUUUA